rnacentral:tRNA from 1 species
ACCUACUUAUCUCAGUGGUUUCAGUAUUUCCGAUCUACGGCGGGAGUCAUUGGUUCAAAUCCAAUAGUAGGUA